UUGAGCCGUGUGCGGUGAAAGUCGCACGCACGGUUCUUAGGGGGGAGAGCUUCCAGCAAUGGGGUUCUCCUACCCUCC
rfam:Janthinobacterium sp. KBS0711 VM94_contig000025, whole genome shotgun sequence.